CAAUAGCGUAUAUUAAAGUUGUUGCAGUUAAAAAGCUCGUAGUUGGAUUUCUGGUAGGAGUGACCGUUCCGAACUUGAUUGUUCGUGUAUUGUGUUUUCUCCAGCCAUCCUUGUGGAGAACUUUUCUUGCAUUUAUUUGUAGGGAUUGGGACCCGCAUCGUUUACUGUGAAAAAAUUAGAGUGUUUAAAGCAGGCAGUCGCUUGAAUACAUUAGCAUGGAAUAAUAAGAUAGGACUUUGGUACUAUUUUGUUGGUUUGCAUACCAAAUUAAUGAUCAACAGGAACAGUUUGAGGAUAUUCGUAUGAACAUGUCAGAGGUGAAAUUCUUGGAUUUUGAUCAGACGAACUACUGCGAAAGCAUUUAUCAAGGAUGUUUUCAUUAA
rnacentral:rRNA from 1 species